rnacentral:rRNA from 1 species
UACGUAGGGUGCGAGCGUUAAUCGGAAUUACUGGGCGUAAAGCGUGCGCAGGCGGUUUUGUAAGCCAGAUGUGAAAUCCCCGGGCUUAACCUGGGAAUGGCAUUUGGGACUGCAAGGCUGGAGUGUGGCAGAGGAGACUGGAAUUCCUGGUGUAGCAGUGAAAUGCGCAGAUAUCAGGAGGAACACCGAUGGCGAAGGCAGGUCUCUGGGCCACUACUGACGCUGAGAAGCGAAAGCGUGGGGAGCAAACAGG